UAAUGUAUGGGGAUCUGCCCGAUAGAGGGGAAUAACUACUGGAAACGGUGGCUAAUACCGCAUAAUGUCUACGGACCAAAGCAGGGGCUCUUCGGACCUUGCACUAUCGGAUGAACCCAUAUGGGAUUAGCUAGUAGGUGGGGUAAAGGCUCACCUAGGCGACGAUCUCUAGCUGGUCUGAGAGGAUGAUCAGCCACACUGGGACUGAGGCACGGCCCAG
rnacentral:rRNA from 1 species